CCUACGGGAGGCAGCAGUGGGGAAUAUUGCACAAUGGAGGAAACCCUGAUGCAGCGACGCCGCGUGAGCGAUGAAGUAUUUCGGUAUUUAAAGCUCUAUCAGCAGGGAAGAAAAUGACGGUACCUGAGUAAGAAGCUCCGUCUAAAUCCGUUCCAGCAGCCGCGGUAAUACGGAUGGAGCAAGCGUUAUCCGGAUUUACUGGGUGUAAAGGGAGCGCAGGCGGCCUUGCAAGUCUGAUGUGAAAUACCGGGGCUCAACCCCGGAUCUGCAUUUGAAACUGUGAGGCUGGAGUGUCGGAGAGGCAGGCGGAAUUCCUAGUGUAGCGGUGAAAUGCGUAGAUAUUAGGAGGAACACCAGUGGCGAAGGCGGCCUGCUGGACGAUGACUGACGCUGAGGCUCGAAAGCGUGGGGAGCAAACAGGAUUAGAUACCCCGGUAGUC
rnacentral:rRNA from 1 species